UUGGAGGGCAAGUCUGGUGCCAGCAGCCGCGGUAAUUCCAGCUCCAAUAGCGUAUAUUAAAGUUGUUGCAGUUAAAAAGCUCGUAGUUGAAUUUCGGGGUUAAUAAGUUGGUCGUGCCAAUGGUAUGUACUGGCUUUAUUGAUUCCUACCUCUUGAAGAACUGUGAUGCCAUUAAUUUGGUGUUGCAGGGAAUCAGGACUGUUACCUUGAAAAAAUUAGAGUGUUUAAAGCAGGCUUACGCUUGAAUACAUUAGCAUGGAAUAAUGAAAUAGGACGUUUGAACCUAUUUUGUUGGUUUCUAGGAUUGACGUAAUGAUUAAUAGGGAUAGUUGGGGGCAUUAGUAUUCAAUUGUCAGAGGUGAAAUUCUUGGAUCUAUUGAAGACUAACUACUGCGAAAGCAUUUGCCAAGGAUGUUUUCAUUAAUCAAGAACGAAAGUUAGGGGAUCGAAGACGAUCAGAUACCGUCGUAGUCUUAACCAUAAACUAUGCCGACUAGGGAUCGGAUGAUGUUAAUUUUUUAAUGACUCAUUCGGCGCCUUACGGGAAACCAAAGUGUUUGGGUUC
rnacentral:rRNA from 1 species